CUACGGGACGCACCAGUGAGGAAUAUUGCACAAUGGGGGGAACCCUGAUGCAGCAACGCCGCGUGGAGGAUGACGCAUUUCGGUGUGUAAACUCCUUUUAUAUGUCAAGAAAAUGACGGUAGCAUAUGAAUAAGCACCGGCUAACUCCGUGCCAGCAGCCGCGGUAAUACGGAGGGUGCAAGCGUUACUCGGAAUCACUGGGCGUAAAGGACGCGUAGGCGGGUUGGAAAGUCAGGUGUGAAAUCCUACAGCUUAACUGUAGAACUGCACUUGAAACUUCUAAUCUAGAGUAUGGGAGGGGGAGAUGGAAUUGGUGGUGUAGGGGUAAAAUCCGUAGAUAUCACUAGGAAUACCUAAAGCGAAGGCGAUCUCCUGGAACAUUACUGACGCUAAGGCGUGGAAGCGUGGGGAGCAAACAGGAUUAGAUACCCGAGUAGUC
rnacentral:rRNA from 1 species